rnacentral:rRNA from 1 species
AUUGAACGCUGGCGGCAGGCCUAACACAUGCAAGUCGAACGAGUGGCGGACGGGUGAGUAAUGUCUGUGAAACUGCCCGAUGGAGGGGGAUAACUACUGGAAACGGUAGCUAAUACCGCAUACCAUCGGAUGUGCCCAGAUGGGAUUAGCUAGUAGGUGGGGUAACGGCUCACCUCGGCGACGAUCCCUAGCUGGUCUGAGAGGAUAACCAACCACACUGGAACGGAGACACGGUCCAGACUCCUACGGGAGGUAGCAGUGGGGAAUAUUGCACAAUGGGCGCAAGCCUGAUGCAGCCAUGCCGCGGGUAUGAAGAAGGCCUUCGGGUGGUAAAGUACUUUCAGCGAGGAGGCGGUACUCGCAGAAGAAGCACCGGCUAACUCCGUGCCAGCAGCCGCGGUAAUUC